rnacentral:rRNA from 1 species
AGUGAACGCUGGCGGUGGGCCUAACACAUGCAAGUCGAACGGCAGCACAGUAAGAGCUUGCUCUUACGGGUGGCGAGUGGCGGACGGGUGAGGAAUACAUCGGAAUCUACUUUUUCGUGGGGGAUAACGUAGGGAAACUUACGCUAAUACCGCAUACGACCUACGGGUGAAAGCAGGGGAUCUUCGGACCUUGCGCGAUUGAAUGAGCCGAUGUCGGAUUAGCUAGUUGGCGGGGUAAAGGCCCACCAAGGCGACGAUCCGUAGCUGGUCUGAGAGGAUGAUCAGCCACACUGGAACUGAGACCCGGUCCAGACUCCUACGGGAGGCAGCAGUGGGGAAUAUUGGACAAUGGGCGCAAGCCUGAUCCAGCCAUACCGCGUGGGUGAAGAAGGCCUUCGGGUUGUAAAGCCCUUUUGUUGGGAAAGAAAAGCAGCAGGUUAAUACCCCGCUGUUCUGACGGUACCCAAAGAACAAGCACCGGCUAACUUCGU